rfam:Harpegnathos saltator strain R22 G/1 HarSal_1.0_1.contig6548, whole genome shotgun sequence.
AAAUCGGCCCUUUUUAGGGCCACUGUGAUGUAUUAUUUCCUAUUAU